rnacentral:lncRNA from 1 species
GUGUACGUGUGCGUUUUUAUAGUCUGGUCCUCUUCAUGAUCUUAGUAAGGAGAUGCCUUGAACUGGCAGGAUUCAACUGCAGGGAUUUUGCAAAUCUUAGGCAAGUUCUGAGCAGUCUGAAACACAUGUUUCAUCUGUUGUUGUCCAUGCAUUCCCUGGAAUCUAACUUGUUGAGCAGCCUUUUUCAGUGUAGGACACACACACAUCUUGUCCACUUGUCUUAACUCAUUGCAACACAUUCUAAGAGCUGGUUGAUGUUGUUGAGGUGUUGGGUUCUCAUCGUCCUCAAAAUCAACAUCAAGAGUGAGCUCAAAGUCAUCAGCUUCGUAUCCGAUUCUUCCUUGUUGAGCUCGCUUGCGGAUCCAUUGCUUGCAACCUCUUAGUUGCUGAUGCUGCAUAAACUCCCUCUGGCACUUAUCUUGUUGUGGGUUGCUAACGUCGUCUUCUUCAUCGAACUCCACCACUGCGCGGUAGAUGGAUGCGUUGGCUAGGAGGAUGAAGAGAGCAAGAGUUGCGAAAACGAGAAUAAGCUUAGCCAUGGUUUGAUUUUGUUUAAGGAUUUGAGGUAUUUGGUGAGUGA